AUUGAACGCUGGCGGCAUGCCCUACACAUGCAAGUCGAACGGCAGCGCGGACUUCGGUCUGGCGGCGAGUGGCGAACGGGUGAGUAAUACAUCGGAACGUACCCUGUUGUGGGGGAUAACUAGUCGAAAGAUUAGCUAAUACCGCAUACGACCUGAGGGUGAAAGUGGGGGCCCGCAAGGCCUCCCGCCGCAGGAGCGGCCGAUGUCUGAUUAGCUAGUUGGUGGGGUAAAGGCCCACCAAGGCGACGAGCAGCAGCUGGUCUGGGAGGACGGGCAGCCAGACUGGGACGGCGGGAAGGCCCAGAAUGCUACGGUAGGCAGCAGUGGGGAAUUUUGGGCGAGGGGGGCAACCCUGGUCGAGCAAUGCCGCGUGUGUGAAGAAGGCCUUCGGGUUGGAAAGCACUUUUGUCCGGAAAGAAAUCGCGCUGGUUAAUGCCUGGCGUGGAUGCCGGUACCGGAAGAAUAAGCACCGGCUAACUACGUGCCAGCAGCCGCCGCAG
rnacentral:rRNA from 1 species